rnacentral:rRNA from 1 species
AGAGUUUGAUCCUGGCUCAGAUUGAACGCUGGCGGCAUGCUUUACACAUGCAAGUCGGACGGCAGCACAGAGAAGCUUGCUUCUUGGGUGGCGAGCGGCGAACGGGUGAGUAAUAUAUCGGAACGUACCGAGUAAUGGGGGAUAACUAAUCGAAAGAUUAGCUAAUACCGCAUAUUCUCUGAGGAGGAAAGCAGGGGACCUUCGGGCCUUGCGUUAUUCGAGCGGCCGAUAUCUGAUUAGCUAGUUGGUGGGGUAAAGGCCUACCAAGGCGACGAUCAGUAGCGGGUCUGAGAGGAUGAUCCGCCACACUGGGACUGAGACACGGCCCAGACUCCUACGGGAGGCAGCAGUGGGGAAUUUUGGACAAUGGGCGCAAGCCUGAUCCAGCCAUGCCGCGUGUCUGAAGAAGGCCUUCGGGUUGUAAAGGACUUUUGUCAGGGAAGAAAAGGCUGUUGCUAAUAUCGACAGCUGAUGACGGUACCUGAAGAAUAAGCACCGGCUAACUACGUGCCAGCAGCCGCGGUAAUACGUAGGGUGCGAGCGUUAAUCGGAAUUACUGGGCGUAAAGCGAGCGCAGACGGUUACUUAAGCAGGAUGUGAAAUCCCCGGGCUCAACCUGGGAACUGCGUUCUGAACUGGGUGACUAGAGUGUGUCAGAGGGAGGUAGAAUUCCACGUGUAGCAGUGAAAUGCGUAGAGAUGUGGAGGAAUACCGAUGGCGAAGGCAGCCUCCUGGGAUAACACUGACGUUCAUGCUCGAAAGCGUGGGUAGCAAACAGGAUUAGAUACCCUGGUAGUCCACGCCCUAAAC